CGCCUCCCCUGUCACUUGAGGUAAAGAGUGAGUUGUGUUGAAGUCCCACGGUGGCGAUUAUCGUAAUAUUUUUCAUCCAUCCGUGCGUCAGGAGGGCUGCGGGUCGUGUGGUAACUCCUGCCUCCAGCACCACCGCCAUAUACUCGCCUCGCUCUCUCUCUCUCUCUCCCUGCCGGCCAUAUUGACACUCAGGUAACGUGAUAUGACCAGUGCCGGGAAUCUGAUGGCGCGGAAUGUGCUGAGGAUAGUGAAUGGGGGAGAAGGCAUGAUGCUACUCAUGCUGCGGCUAUGACAAUC